GGCAGGUCGUGUGGCCGAGCGGUCUAAGGCGCUGGAUUCAGGUUCCAGUCUCUCUGGAGGCGUGGGUUCGCAUCCCACCACUGCCA